rnacentral:tRNA from 1 species
GGCCUCGUAGCUCAGUUGCCUAGAGCGUUGGCUGUACUUUAGCUUUUUCCUUGUGGGCGUGGGUUCGAAUCCCACAGAGGCCG